rnacentral:rRNA from 1 species
AUGAACGCUGGCGGCGUGCUUAACACAUGCAAGUCGAACGAAGCAUUUGCGACAGAUUUUUUCGGAAUGAAGUUGCUUAUGACUGAGUGGCGGACGGGUGAGUAACGCGUGGGUAACCUGCCUUGUACUGGGGGAUAGCAGCUGGAAACGGCUGGUAAUACCGCAUAAGCGCACAAUGUUGCAUGACAUGGUGUGAAAAACUCCGGUGGUAUAAGAUGGACCCGCGUCUGAUUAGCUAGUUGGUGAGAUAACAGCCCACCAAGGCGACGAUCAGUAGCCGACCUGAGAGGGUGACCGGCCACAUUGGGACUGAGACACGGCCCAGACUCCUACGGGAGGCAGCAGUGGGGAAUAUUGCACAAUGGAGGAAACUCUGAUGCGGCGACGCCGUGUGAGUGAAGAAGUAAUUCGUUAUGUAAAGCUCUAUCAGCAGGGAAGAUAGUGACGGUACCUGACUAAGAAGCUCCGGCUAAAUACGUG